CUCUGAGGCACAGAAGGACUCCUAGAAGAACUCCAUCAUGACCUUGUCCUGUUUAAUCAUGCUUCUCACAUACUGCACAGGAUCCUGGGCACAAUCUGGGUUGACUCAACCAUCCUCAGUGUCUGGGAACCUUGGACAGAAAGUCACCAUCUCCUGUGCUGGAAGCAGCAGUAACAUUGGUAGCAAUUAUGUGAACUGGUACCAACAACUCCAAGGAAGCUCCCCCAAGCUUCUCAUCUAUAAUAAUAACAAUCGACCAUCAGGGAUCCCUGAUCGCUUCUCUGGCUCCAAGUCUGGCAACUCAGCCACAUUGACCAUCACGGGGCUCCAGCCUGAAGAUGAGGCUGAUUAUUACUGUCAGUCCUAUGAUGAUAACCUCAAUGCUCGCACAGUGCUUCAGUUCUAUAAGGAAGUGAGACAAGAAACCUUCCUCUUCUCCAGUAAGGUGAACAUCCAGCAGUUGCUGCUCAUUCUCAGUUGA